GCCCUACGGGAGGCAGCAGUGAGGAAUAUUGGUCAAUGGCCGAGAGGCUGAACCAGCCAAGUCGCGUGAGGGAAGACGGCCCUAUGGGUUGUAAACCUCUUUUGUCGGAGAACAAAACCCGGGACGUGUCCCGGACUGCGUGUAUCCGAAGAAAAAGCAUCGGCUAACUCCGUGCCAGCAGCCGCGGUAAUACGGAGGAUGCGAGCGUUAUCCGGAUUUAUUGGGUUUAAAGGGUGCGUAGGCGGCCCGUUAAGUCAGCGGUAAAAUUGCGGGGCCCAACCCCGUCGCGC
rnacentral:rRNA from 1 species